rnacentral:rRNA from 1 species
UAGCGAAGGGGGCUAGCGUUGCUCGGAAUUACUGGGCGUAAAGGGUGCGUAGGCGGGUCUUUAAGUCAGGGGUGAAAUCCUGGAGCUCAACUCCAGAACUGCCUUUGAUACUGAAGAUCUUGAGUUCGGGAGAGGUGAGUGGAACUGCGAGUGUAGAGGUGAAAUUCGUAGAUAUUCGCAAGAACACCAGUGGCGAAGGCGGCUCACUGGCCCGAUACUGACGCUGAGGCACGAAAGCGUGGGGAGCAAACAGGG